UUCCCCUGGGGUUAAAUGUUAAAGGCCUUUCUGCCUUCACUUUAUCACAAUAUAUCAAUUUAUCACAAUAUAUAUAUAUAUAUUAAUUGGGGUAACCCCCAAAAUAUUGGGACAUAUAAAAAAAGACAACUCUGUUCCGCAGAGUAGCUGUUGACAUUAUAGUUGCGCAGGAACUUUGUUGACUCUAGAGAACCUCAGGCAAAUCGCACAUCCCCCAUGGUGGCGACUUUGCAUGCAGAUGUCAUCCAUAUCAACUUUCGAUGACAGUUUCUGCACCUACCAUGGUGACCACGGGUAACGGGGAAAUUGGUUUCCAUUCCAUAAAGGGACCCUGAGAAACGACUACUACAUGCAAGGAAGGCAGUAGGCGCGCAAAUGACCCACUCCCGACGCGGGAAGGUAGUGACGACAAAUAACAAUACAGGACUCGUUAGAGGCCCUAUAAUUGUAAUGAGUCCACUUGAAAUCCUUUAACUCUUAUCAAUUGGAGGGAAGUCUGGUGCAGAGCCACUGACCUAUGCGUGCUGCAGCUGAAACUCCACU